GGGAGCCGCCCCGCCCCGCCCUGCCCUGCCGCCCCUCCGGCUCCGCCACGCGCGGCCUUCCGCUCUGUUAUAAAAGCUUUAAACUCAACGGACAUGCACGCAAAAGUGCAAAUGAUGGCCUGCCUUUGCUGCCUCCCAGCUGUAUGUCUGAUAGAGAAUGAGAAACCUACUGGUUUCAAGAAGGACUGGAGCUGUGCUACUUGAGAGUGGUGUUCUACUUCAUUUUCAAGCAAAAAUAAUAGCUGUUGGAAACAGAAAGACAAAAACCAAGCAUGCUGAGUCAGAUGCGGGUCACUGUCUCCUGAAAUGCAGCUGUCAGGAGCUGGAUGCCUCUGAGAGUGGAAGCAUUGAGUCUGAAAUGCUCUAUUGAGUGCAGCAGAGGAACCUGGCCUGAUGUGCAGCAGUGGGGAGAGGCCAGGUGCAGUAAGGCAGCAUUUGUGCCUGUGGAGCCAAGCCCGGAGUGACAGCCAGCCUUGCCUCUGGGAGCUCACGGCUCAGAGAUGUGAGGAGGAAGCACUUUGCCCUUCCUCACUGUAGGAGGAAACACUGGAGUCAAUUGCUCUGUUACACACAGCAGAGUCACUAAAUCAGAAUGUACAGCUUUUGCCCUGUAACUGUUCUGGCACCACUCAUGCUGGUAGUGUUGAUCAAGCUUGCUCCCGUUUUCCACUUCUCCCCCAGAAGGCCUUAACAUCACCAGGGCACCUUGGCCCGGGGUGAAAACUUGUCCCAUCCACUGAGGUAGUAAAAAAGAAUAAUCAAGAGUGGGAAACAGUCUGAUAUUCUUCUGUUUCUGCUUGAGUACUCCUUGAGGAAGAUCCUUUAGAUCCUGCUGAUACUUCCAAGCUGACCUUUCCAGGUUUGGAAAAGAAACAUUGCUGGGGAGGAAUCCAAUGAAUUUAUUAAUGAGCUGGGUAAGUACGGAACUAUUAAUAUCUCCUGAGAUCUUGUUUGUGUUAUUUUUGUCCUCAGCUUCAGACUCUGAAAUAAACAGAUGUUCUGAAGCCUUCCACUGAGAGUACUACUGUGUGUUAGGUCCUAUUUUAAAUACAUUGUGAUUACCAGGAUGUUGUAGGAAACGGGUAAAUAGCUGAGUACGAUGCUUCUGAAACAGUUUGUGCCAUUACCUGAAAUCUUUAUUUCAGAUUGCAGUGAUGACACAAAUAAGAAAAUAUCUGAAGUGCUUCUUAUAUGUAACUAAUGAUUUUUGUUUCUAGUCAUAAAUCUGAGUAGAGAAAUUGAAACAUUACUUUAUUCUACAGUGUUGUCAGUGCACGUUCAAACUCCUGUUCAUCAUUUUGUGGCAUGACUGACAAAACAGCCUGCCUGUCCUGGGCACAUACUGAACAGAUGAGUGCUUCCAUUCGUCUAAGAAGGUCUCUAUUUAUUUCUCAGUCUAUUCUGAUCAGAGAUACCACUUUGAGUCUCAAUGUAACUGACAUCUUUGGCAAUCCCACCGACACUGAAAUACUGAGGUCCUUUGCUCUCUAUCAUCUCAAGAAUUUGAGAAGGGCAUCAGAAAAUGGCUUGUUGUUUUCACAUGUUGGGAAGGGGAAGAAAUAUUUGACCUUGAAACUGAGUUCAACUGUCUGUAUCACUUAGAUGCUGCUCUAUCUUAACCCAGAUGUUAAAGGAGACUAACCAAUCACUUAUGCUAGUGGUCCUGAGGUGAAAUACAAAACAAAAGAUCCAUCUGCUUAUUGCAGGAAGAGGUCAGGCUGCUUGGCUAACACUUAACUCCCGUUUGUAUUCAGUCAUUACUGGUCCUAUUUAUAAUGAGGGAAAUUCAGCUCUAGAGAGAGCUGGAUAUGAGGCCUCUGAAGUCAGUGGUGAGCCUUACCCUGAGUCUGAUGCCUCAGCACCAAAGGUAAUUUUCCUGCUUGUGCCACUUAAGUGCCUUUCG
ensembl:lncRNA